rnacentral:lncRNA from 1 species
UUCCUGCCGCGCGCGGGGACGGGGCUGGAGCUGGGGACAGAGAUGGGACAAAGGCAGAGAGGGUGGUGGGAAUGGGGACGGGGACGGGGACAGGGGACUAAAAUGGGAAUAGGGACAGGGAUGGGAAUGAGGACGGGGACAGACCCCAUGGGGACGCCACCCCCAGGCGCAGCGGAACCCCAAAAAAGCACCACAGGACACCGAUGUCACUGCAGUGCCAGGCUCUGAUCCCAGGAGGUGACACAGGGACGCCCCGCUGCCACCCCCCUCCAGCGUUACAGCGUCACCACUAGAGAGAGGCGGCCGGGGGGGGCUUGGUGUCCUCCACCUGGAUGAAGAGUGCUGGAAGAGAAAGAGCAGUGAUGGUGACACCGUGUGACGACGUGGCGGUGGGGUCGCAGUGCCCCCUGCGAAGUGCCACGUGCUGUGGGGAGCCCCCGUGUCACCCAGAGGCACAGUUCUGUGGGAUGGUCUCAGUGUCCCCAGCCCCGUCCCCGCAGCACCACAUGUCCUCACCGGUGGCCUCGGCGUACAGCGUGUCCCGUUUGGUGUCACGCACGUGGCAGGACAGGAAGAUCUUGCGUCCCUCGUGCCGCUCCAUGCGGCUGUCGGCCACCACCACGGCACCCACUGGCACGGGGCUGAAGGACAAGGAGGGGACAACGGCGUGGGGCUGGGAACAGAGAUGGGGACGGCGGCAGAAAGAGGAGUGGGGUAAGGACAGCCAGGGAUGGGGACAAGGACAGGGAUGGGGACGGGGAUGAGGACAGGGAGGGGGGACAAUGACGCAGCAUCCCCCGCAGCAUGGGGACACUGUGGAGCGAUGUCCCCAUGCAGUGACACUCACGCCAGGUAGCUGAUGCUCAGCUUGGCCGUCAUCACCGAGGCUUUGGCCACUGCCAGCGCGCACGUCCCCACUGUGCUGUCAAUGAGGGUGGCGAUGGCACCACCGUGCGCGAAGCUGUGGGGACACGGUGAGCACACGGGGACAGGGGCGAGGACGGGGAUGGGGACGCGGCCUCACCUACCCGUGGUGGCCCUCCAGGUAGGGUCCCAGCUGGCACAGGCACUGCGUGCGAUGUCCAGAGGCGUGCAGGAAGAUGGCAUACUCAAAGCCAGCGCCCUCCUCAUCCACGCUGCGCAGGAACAGCCGCGGCCCUGGCCUCGUCACCACCCCCACCGCCAUCUGCACCACCUCUGGGAGGUAGUCGAGGCCACGGCGGUAGGAGGGGAUGCGGCGCCAGGAGCCGUCGGCAGCGCGGCGCAGCAGACGCUGGAACUGCUCACACAUGGCCGCGCUCCACCCGGUGUUGGGGACAGCCAAGUCCUGCGGGGACACCGAGCACAGCGCCGUGGGGGGGGCGCGGCCCAACCCGUGGGCCACCGCCGCGCGCGCCCCCGCCCCGCAGCUCCGCCACAUGGCGCGAGGUGACGUCACCGAGAUGACGCAACUCCCGCGACGACGUCACUCCGGCGCUGACGUCACUCCGCCCCCGCGUGACCCCGCUCCUCGCCGCUGUCGCGCCGCGAUGACGUCACGACGACGCGCCGGGCCCCGAGGUCGGAGAUCUCCGCGCGCCGCUGCGCCCCCCGGCGCCCCCCGCCCCGCCCCGCCCCUACCGCGGUGCUGCGAACCGCGACGCCGUCACAGCGCUGGAGGCGCCCGCGGGCGGCGGUGGGGGCGGAGCCGCCGUUAGGCCGCUUCCGGGGAGCGCGGGGUUCGGCCCCGCCCCGCAGGGCGCGCGGGGACCCUCAGGGCCCCGUAGGGCCCCACAGAACCCCGUAGGGCCCCGCAGAGCCUCCGUGGAGCACCGUACAGCCCCGCACGGCACCGAACUCUAUGAGACGCCACGGAGCCCCGUUCAGCCCCGCGCUGCCCCCAGGGCCCCCGAUGGGCUCCUUUACACCGCCCUGUGCCACCCUACACAUCCCCUACGGAACGCUGCAGAUCCCCAUACAGCCCCACAGCUCCCUAUAAACCACUGCACGGGCCCACGCCGCCCUGUACCGCCGCGCAGUCCUUACGGAGACUCGCGCAGCCUCCAUACAGCGCCAUACUGCCCCCAAGCGGCCCCUGUAGGCUCCUCAGGUGAGCCUGCGUUGAUGGGGACGUGGAGAUGGGAACCCCACGGGGAGGAUAUGGGGACGGGGACCUCGCAGCGACAGGGAUGGGGGGACUGGGACACAAAGAUGGGCACCCCAGAACGAUGGGGACAAGAAUGAGAGGACUGCACGGUGAUGGGGACCGCAGGGACAUGGAAACAGGGAUCCCAUAAUGAUGGAAGCACAAAGGUGUGGACAUGGGGUGAUGGGGACCCCACAGGGACGGGGAUAUGGGGCCGGGAGCCCCACAGUGAAAGGGCUUUAGGGAUGAGAACCCCGUGGUGAUGGGGACUUGGUGCUGAUAGGGAUAUGGGGAUGGGAACCCCCUAGUGAUGAGGACCUGAGGGGACCCACCCCAAGGCAGAGGCCACAGCAGAGUCAUAUAAAACACUUUAUUGGGGCUGCGGGGCCUUCUCUCACUUCCGCCCCUUCUGCUUCAUGUGCACCACGAAGUAGUCAUUGCAGGCGAUGGUCAGUCCAGCCACCAGUGAGAAGAAGCUCUGGAAGCCCACUUUGCCAUCCCGGCACUGGUCCAGGUCCUUCAUGAUCUUAUCCAGCGCCAUAGGGUCGCGCUGGUUCUCCAGGAAUCCGGGGAACUCCUUCUCCAUCAGCGCACGCAGGUCCUCCUUGCUCAGGUAGUUCUUGUCACCCGCGUAUUUGUGGAAGGUGAACAUCAGCGUCUCCAUGGCGUGCUCCAUCUGGGACGGCAUGGUGGCGGCUGUGGGGUCGCGCGGCGCAGAUCGGGGCACUGCGGAGUGGUGGCACCGCCCGGGAUAGGCACGGAGGGGGCGGGACAGCCCCGGGGGGGGGACCCGGGGGGGCCCGGGGCUGACUCAGUCACUCCCGCCCGCAGCGCUCCGCCUUAACCCCUUCCUGCCCGGCCCCCCCAGUGUGUCACUUGAACGCACGUCGCUCCUCAUGGCAGUCCUGGGGAUGGGAACAGCACUGGGGAAGGGGACACCUCUGGACAGAACUAUCCUUGGGGACAAGGCCACCUUUGGGUACAGGGCCAUCCCCAGGGUUAGGGCCACACUUAGGGGCCCAGCUCAGGGAUGUGGCCCUAACCCUGGGGACAGGGCCACACGUGGAGACAGGACCACCUCAGAGGCUGUGGCCACUCUUGGGGAGAGAGCCAUCCUUUGGGUCAAAGACACCUUUGGGGACAGGAACGUACUUAGGGACAUGGCUUUCUUUGGGGACAUGGCCACCCUUUUUGGGGACAGAGCUACACUUGGAGACGUGGCUGUCUCUGGGGACUCGGCCACACUUGUGUGCAGAGCCAUCUUUGAGGACAGGACCACACCUGGGGACAGGGUCACCUGUAGGGACAGUCACGCACAGGGACAGGGCUGCACAGGGGAACAUGGCUCUCUUUGGGGCAGGGCCACCCCUGGGGACAGUGACACCACUGAGAACAGUGCCAAUCUCUUUGGGGACAGCUUCUUUCCCCAGUGAGGCUGCACGUGCCCUUCGUUACCGCUAAUUGCACCUGGUGCCUGGCAGCACCCAGCAGGCACUCUGCCAUCAGCUGCCCACGCAGCGCGUGGGGCAAUUAGAAGAGCUAAUUACUGGGGGGUUGCCCUAACCCCCCCCAAUAAAUAAGGCCCUGAAGUGAGAUGGGGCCCCUGUGGUGCCCUCCCAGUUCUCAGCCCCCACCCUACCCCCAGGGCCACCCCUUGCCUAUCCCCUACCCCAAAUGGUCCCCCAUUUCCCACAUCUCACCCCCAUACCCCAAAGGCCUCCCCCAAAACUAAGACUCUCCCCUCCCGUUACCCCCGUGAUCCCCUCCUAUCCCUUCGCUGUCCCCUCUCUGUUCCUCUGUCCCCACUCAAGAUGGCGGCGCCUCCUCACACCCCCUUCUGCCCUCACCCAAUAUGGCGGCAGCACCACAAUGCUCUGAAAUAGCGAUGAAGUCAACGCCCCGUGCUCCGGAUGUGCCCGCCCGCUUGCCCUCAUCCAAUAUGGCUCCG